GGCUCGUUUGCACCUGUAGCUUGCAGCGGCAUGGCCUUGCUAAUCUCUUUCGAAGGCAAAUACCCUACUUAUGUGCUUCUCAUUACCGACUGUUUUUUCGAUACCACAUCUGUUUGCCUGCAAAGAACUAGUGGGACGUGAAGGAAACGUAUGGUUAUACAGACCAAACUCGAGAGAAAAGGUUCGGCUUCCAGUUGGAUCAUGUGAGCUUGCACUUCCUAUGAGAGGCAGAGAGUUGGCUCACAAUGGGAAUGCUCCAAGAGAAGCCUAUGCAACGAUUCUGCAUUCGGCUCAUGUUUAUGUUUGUGGAGCCAUAGAAUGAAUGGAACUACAACAAAUACAGGUUAUGGCAAAUGUGAUCGGUUAUGGAUCGGGUUGUAUCUGGCAGUUCUGUACUUCUGGAGAUUAUCAUAAAGAUGUUGAUACCGUUGAAUUUUUUGGUCACCACCCAUUUGUUUGCCAAUCAUGUCAUUUUUCAGAUUCCCGAAAAUUGUGAAACCUCGACUCUGCCAUUAACUUGCCUCUGGUGUUCUAAUAAUUUUACAGGAAUGGCAUUCGAAGCAUCUCUGGGACCUGAUAAGGACGCAUGAGUUUUUCAAAUCUAUAACGAGUGUACCAGCGAAAGCAUAUUCCAGGUCUCACACGUCCAGCUCUACCCUGACGCUGCCUUGCAUUUGCUUGAGAAAUCCAAUCUUCAACCAUGCUAGACAAUUUCUUCUGCGGAUUAUAACGAUUCUCCUUAUGUUUUCCACAGUCAAUCACAUAUAUCACAUCAACUAUUGUUAUGCUGGUCUCUGCUAUAUUUGUUGCUAUAACAACCUUGCGUAUAUUUCCUGUAGGGCGUAAAAAAAAACCUUCUUCUGUUCAGUUGACGCAACUAAUGAAUGCAAAGGAGUAAGCCAAUCAGAAGAUGGCCCACCAAACCGGUACGAUGCUGCUAACUUAUCAUGUAAGUGGUUUAUCUCAAACACUCCCGGUAAGAAGACAAGGACGGCACCCUCAAGAUCAUCUAUCUGCAUAAAUUCAGGAAGUGGAAUGCCAUGCUUAGAGAAGUGAACCUUUUGCAGAUACUUAUCCUGAAUAAUUCGUAUAGUAGAGGCUUUAGGUUGACAUACAACUCCUUGUUUCUCAAGUUAUUUAUGCUGCUGGGAUUUACUUCCUUGGUGUAUGACUAUUUAUCUUUACCGGCACUGGCUUUUAUCUGAAUUUUGUAGAAGUCGCAGCCUAGGCUCAGUAGGUAACCAUUUGUAAUAUUUGCACUUGGGUUUUAUUGUACUUUUGCAGUAGAGCAAUAACAUCAUGUAUUUGAACUGAAAAUAAGUGAUCUAAAAGCCCAGCUGAAAAUCUAUUCAUUGU